CCUACGGGAGGCUGCAGUGGGGAAUAUUGGGCAAUGGGCGCAAGCCUGACCCAGCAACGCCGCGUGAAGGAAGAAGGCUUUCGGGUUGUAAACUUCUUUUAAGGGGGAAGAGCAGAAGACGGUAUCCCUUGAAUAAUCCACGGCUAACUCCGUGCAAGCAGCCGCGGUAAUACGUAGGUGGUAAGUGUUGUCCGGAUUUACUGGGUGUAAAGGGCGUGAAGCCGGAGUGACAAGUCAGAUGUGAAAUCCACGGGCUCAACCCGUGAACUGCAUUUGACACUGGUUGCCUUGUGUGUCGGAGAGGUAAUCGGAAUUUCUUGUGUAGCGAUGAAAUGCGUAGAUAUAAGGAAGAACACCAGUUGCGAAGGCGGAUUACUGGACGAUAACUGACGGUGAGGCGCGAAAGCGUGGGGAGCAAACAGGAUUAGAUACCCGAGUAGUC
rnacentral:rRNA from 1 species